UACGGAGGGGGCUAGCGUUGUCCGGAAUUAUUGGGCGUAAAGCGCGCGCAGGCGGUUUCUUAAGUCUGAUGUGAAAGCCCACGGCUCAACCGUGGAGGGUCAUUGGAAACUGGGAGACUUGAGUGCAGAAGAGGAGAGUGGAAUUCCACGUGUAGCGGUGAAAUGCGUAGAUAUGUGGAGGAACACCAGUGGCGAAGGCGACUCUCUGGUCUGUAACUGACGCUGAGGAGCGAAAGCGUGGGGAGCGAACAGG
rnacentral:rRNA from 1 species